CCUACGGGACGCAGCAGUGAGGAAUAUUGGUCAAUGGGCGGGAGCCUGAACCAGCCAAGCCGCGUGAGGGAAGAAGGUACAGCGUAUCGUAAACCUCUUUUGUCAGGGAACAAAGGCGGGGACUAGUCCCCGGAUGAGGGUACCUGAAGAAAAAGCAUCGGCUAACUCCGUGCCAGCAGCCGCGGUAAUACGGAGGAUGCGAGCGUUAUCCGGAUUUAUUGGGUUUAAAGGGUGCGUAGGCGGAAUGCCAAGUCAGCGGUAAAAUCGCGGGGCUCAACCUCGCUCCGCCGUUGAAACUGGCGUUC
rnacentral:rRNA from 1 species